UACGUAGGGAGCGAGCGUUGUCCGGAAUUACUGGGUGUAAAGGGAGCGUAGGCGGGGCGGCAAGUCAGGUGUGAAAUUUAUGGGCUUAACCCAUAACCUGCAUUUGAAACUGUCGUUCUUGAGUGAAGAAGAGGUUGGCGGAAUUCCUAGUGUAGCGGUGAAAUGCGUAGAUAUUAGGAGGAACACCAGUGGCGAAGGCGGCCAACUGGGCUUUUACUGACGCUGAGGCUCGAAAGCGUGGGGAGCAAACAGG
rnacentral:rRNA from 1 species